CGCAUGUUAACCAUGCAUUAAGCUUUAUGAGUGUUUACUGUGGGUAUCCAGUGAUCUGGAUUCUUACCGAGUGGCUGGUGCCAUUCUGUUUGACGCCUCCCUGUUAAACUCCUGAGAGCCGCGUUUGCGGCUCUUUUUUU
rnacentral:sRNA from 1 species